rnacentral:piRNA from 1 species
GCCGGAACAAGACACCAGUACCC